AAUCAAACUUUAACCUUUAAUACCUUUUAAAUGGUUAGGUUUACGAAAAAGACCUACAAUACAAUAACCAGUUGAAUAUGUAUUCUAAGUUUAUUGUAGGUCUAUAGAUAUCAUAGAAACUACGUAUCUUGAGAUCGCUCCUGGCUACGCACACUCAAAAUAGGCAGAUAAUAAUUAACAACGAAAAAUUUUAAUAAAUAAUAAGAAGAAAUAGCUUAAGUUAGAUUACAAUAUGAGUAUAAGUUCAUAUUGUUAUUGCGGUGAUCGAAGUUUCCUUUAGACUUCAUGGAAAAUCGCCUCGUACAGAUUAUAAUAGAUUCAUCUUUUACAUCGGUAUUUUGCUGUGCUGUCUGGGUAAAGAACAAUUUCUAACAGAAAAGAUCGAGUACGCAUUUUAUAUAUUGAGUACUGUGACCGCUCCAAUUUUAAUGGUUAUACAAAUUCUACAAAUAGGAGAAUGCUUAUACAAAACGGCUCAUAUGAAACACAAUAUUUUGCAAGGGAAAAGUAAAUGCUUUGAAAAUAAUAAUUAGGAUAAGGAACAAACAGUACCGACACGUGGCAGCGAAGAUCAAUGCUACAUUGUUUCUUUACUUAAAGGUUUAAUGCACACAUACAUACGUUAUGAGCUGAAGAAACGGUAGCAGUGCCUGCGCCUUCGGAUAGAGUAUACACAAUACUUCUUAUAAGUGUUUUGUUUUUUGAGGUUAACAUAAUCCAAAUUCCGCCUAAGCCACUAUAUUUACGCAUGCGCACCUACCUAAUCUGCAACCGAAUAUGAGGCACCUAUGCUCAAACGACCAUAUGCACUCAGUCUCAGACAUACAUUUCAGAUGCUAUUCAGGCAUAUCCUUCGUUUCUGCUUUGCAAAUAUGCGUUCAGGAUAGCAGACUUCACAAUGUACAUACAUAUGUACUAUAUCUCGUCAUAUUGUGAAUUAUUUAAGUGAAAUGGACGAAAUUAUAAAAGACUUACAUACAUAAAUAAUAUGCCCGAAGUUGUGCCUUCAAUCAGAAUAUACAUUAGUGCUUAUAGCUAAGGGAGAGCUCGCCUGAUAUAAAAUAUGUACACAUGUUUGUGCAUGGACUAACCACAACAAUACUAGAACGUUUAACAACGGCAGUACGCCCUCCCGCUAUUGUUCUGCUUCACUGAUUUAAAAAAAAAAAAAAAGUUUGUUAAUUACAUUCACUCAUUCCUAGAUAUUCACGAACAUGCAAAGCUAAACGCAUUCGACCAUAAAAAACCUAGUCCAUGUUAAAAAGCGCAAAUAUACGGGGUUCUUCAUCAGUCACUUUCAGCUACGCGCAGUGCUAUGGCUGGUGCAGUGGUGAUGUGUUAAUUGUGAAUGUGUCUGACGAUUGAAUCGAAAAAUAUGUAUACUCGUAUUCGUGUUGCUCAGCUGAAAACGUACGAAGACUAAUCCAUUUAGAUUUUCAAAGCAUGUCAGCGUGUGUAUGCAAAUAUGUAUGUACACAUCGCUCAUUUGCUGCAAGACCGGCAUAAGUCAAAAAAAUCGAUUCUCCAGAAAACGCGUUUAAAGUUUUCAACUGAGUACAACCUUACACGGUGACUCCAACCUUACACCUCUUCUCAAGCGGAGCAUAUAAGAGGUAUUCAUAUGAAUUUUUCACUCAACAUGAAGUAUGAUAUAACGAACAAUUCUGCAGCAUUAACUCAAAAAUCACGUUUUUUGAUUUAUGCCGGUCUUGCAGCAAAUGAGCGAUAUGUAUAUUUAAAGUAAUAUUUUAAUGCUUAAUUCAGAAAAAAUGUACAUGACAGACUCGAAUAUACAUAUAUUGUAAAACAUCGAUUACCAAACGCAUAUACAGGCUUUUAGAAUCCUUAGACCACAGCUAAAAUUGAUCAUCCUUUUGAACAAUCUCAUUAACAAAAUCAAAUGAAAAACUUGAUUUUAUUCGACUUGUUUUAUGGCGUAUUCAAUAGAUUUCUUGAUAUUUUAUGAUCUCGGCUGGAGGGUGGUUAUGACGACCGCCUGCGCCAUGAUGUCAUAAUUGUGCUUGGCGAUUUUAACGUCAGGUAUGAAAGGCAUCCUUGGUGCAACACUUGGAAAAUUCAGUCCCCAUGGCGAAACCUCUCCGAAUGGGUGGAGGCUUAUCGACUCCGCAAAGGUUCGAAAUGUGGUUGGCUGUAGUACUAGAUUGCAGUACAAGAAAAUUCAUCAAACUACUUGGCUGUCUUCGGAUCAAAAAAUUGAAACCAGAUCGAUCAUAUUAUGACAGAUUGAAGACAUGACUCUAGUAUCCUUGAAGUGCGUAUGCUCCGAGGACCUAACAUCAGCUAGGACUACUAUCUUGUUGCAGCUCGUAACACAGAGAAGGUACAACGUCGGAAAGCUACAAUCACAACCGACAGCUAAACGGUUUUCUACUCGACUUGCACUCAUGCUCUCUGAGAGCACUCGGUAUAAGGGAACUGUGGGACGGCAUUUCAAGCUUCUUACGUACAGCUGCAAGCGAAACCAUUGGUUUUUGGAAAGGUCGCUAGAACCGCUGGUACGUUGCGGACUGUCGUGUCGCAGAGAAUAGAAAGUAAAAAUCCUACAUCGAUCGACCGGAAUGGUGGGAAAGAUACCAAGAGUUGAAGAGGGAAGCGAGAUAGACAACAAAGGAAGAGACCAAAAUACGUAAGUAUGAACAGCUUGAGAAGUCUGCCGACAGGAGUACUACUCGAAAAUUAUGCGGAAAGAUGCAGCAACUAACAGAAGGAUUCAAGACCGGAGCAUACUCUUGUAGGACCAUAGGAGGUGAUCCUGGUGUCUGACGUUCGCAGCAUACUGACAUUAUGGAGAGAACAAUUCUCUAGCCUACUGAAUGUAUAUGAAAGUGUAGCAUUUGAAGAUGUCGAACCAGAUUCCCCAAUUGAUGGAUGGCCGGGGCCAAUGGAUGGAUUACCGGCCUAGCUAUUCAAAUACGCAGUGAAGAACUGAUAAAGAGCAUGCAUUAACUUCUUUGUAAGAUAUGGCCGGUUUAAAGCAUGCCCGAAAAUUGAAACCUAAGUGUACUUUGCCCAAUCCAAAAAAGGGGUACCCACCAAUCUGCGCCAGCUACCUUGGGAAAAUUCUUUUUAACACUGUGAUUUUGGACCUGGAAAAUGUACUAUCAACCAAAUCAAUCAAACCUUACGCCAAAUCUUGAAAAAUACUGGUGAAAGGUAGAUCGACGCAUACCACUUCUUUGUCGAUUUUAACCCUUUGACGUAUUUCCACGAGUCUGACUCGUGGUACAAUUUCUGUGCCUAACAUGAUUACCACUAGUCUGGCUUGUGGUACAAUUUCUGUGCCUAACAUGAUUAUCACGAGUCUGGCUCGUGGUGCGUAGAAGUAUACAUUUGAUGUAAAGAGGAUUGAAAUUUUCCCGUUAUUUUCAGCUAAUAAUGUAAACCAAAAACCAUUGUUGCAGGUGAGUACAUUAUAUACUGUGUAAUUAUCCAUAUUUUUUGUUACGCAUUAAAAUUAAAUCGUAGUAUUUUAUUUUUUGUAAAUUUGUAAAACAAGCAUUCGAAAGUUCGUAAGUAUCAAAACUGGUUUGUUUAAUGCAAGUUGUGUGCGAACAGUUGGGAGCGAAUUUCGUUGUGAUAAUUGAUACGUCAAGGGGUUAAAGCCGCCUUCGACAGCACGAAAAGGAAAUCUCUCUAUGACGCUAUGUCUGAAUUUGUUAUCUCCAAAAAAACUUACAAGGCUGUGUAAGCUGAGGUAAAGCAGCACCAAAAGCUGCAUCAUGAUCUCCGAGCUGUUCCAUGCUAAGCUUGGUUUCAGACAAGGACACUUCCUGUCGUGUGACUUCUUCAAUCUAUUGCUGAAGAAAAUAAAGCGAGCUACAAAGCUAAAUAGAGACUGUACAAUCUUCUAUAAGAGUGUGCAGCUGCCGGCGUACGCCGAUGAUAUAUCAUUGGCCUCAAUAACGGCGCCGUUGGCUCUGCUUUUUGUUUUGCGGAAGAUUUAUGGUUCUUUGCGAAUUGGAAGCGGCGAAUAGCGUACUCGAUGAAACGAUGAGCUAUACGAGAUAUACGGGGAUAUUGACUUAGUUCAGCGAAUUAAGAGACAACAGCUGCGCUGGCUAGAUCAUGUUGUCCGAAUGGGAGAGAACCCUCCCUCCCCUUUGGAGGACUUUGAUGCAGUACUCGCCGGUGGAAGCAGAGGAAGAGGAAGACCUCUACUCCGUUGGAUAGAUCAGGUGGGGAAGGACCUGUCUGCACUUGGUAUAUCGAAUUGGCUUCAAAAAGCGAAAAGAAGAAACAACUGACACGCUGUUGGUAUUUCGGCUAUAAUUACGACAGUAAAAAAGAAGAUGAAGAAAAUAGUCUAUAAUAUAUAACAUUAGGAUUGGUUUUCAACGCCUUUAAAAGUUUGUGGUCUUAAAUGAUUUUAGUCCGUUGGCUUGUGUCAUAGAAGGUAGGGCGGUUUAUGCGAAACGUUAUUAGAAUUCACAAUGGCACUAUCGUCAGCACACAAAACCACACAAAAAACAUGAAGAAGGGCAAAAACAUUUGUGCACACAUGUAAGCUAGGAUAUACUUAAUCAUAUAUAUAACAAAUGUUUCCUUAAUUUUUAUUAAUUCAAAAUCAUUGAAAUGUAAUAAUGAUAAUCCUGAAAAACAAUCAAAGGGCUACGCAGGCAUUGUUGGGAAGGAAUAAGAAAUCGUGUUAAGGACAUUUUUUAUUUCUCAUACACAUGCAUAAACCAACUACAUACGUUCUCUCAAAAUAUCCUGUGAAUGACAGUUUAGGAUUUCUACAUAAAUAAAGCACUCUGCGCGACUUGUGCAAUACUAUGAGUAUACUGUAUCAGGAUUAAAUGUAUGUUCAACAUUGGAUUAAUCUAGCGAAAUAGUAAACAUGUUACAGAAAUGUAUAAGGGUGAGAAAUGCCGCACGAUAAGGUGGUACCCUGUUGCUGACGGAUUAAGAAUCCAACAAUGCCGCGUGUGCAAAACUUUCAUUUGUAGUUGACUUUGCCCGCCUGCUGAUGCCUGAAGCAAUGCAGUCAACUGUGAAUAUAAAAUUAAUUGUGGCCAGGCUUUUAUUUCCACAAAAUAAAAUGCUGGUUUAUAUUGUAGGUAUGCCAGAUUCAAGUUAGAUUUCACACAGUUAAAAAGGAAUCUAAGGGAAGGCCGAGUUCGACCGGUAGAAACUACAUAUUUUUUUUUUAUUUUUGUAAUUAAAAAUCUAGCUUCAUUGAAUAUUUCACUUAUUUGUUAGUUGAAGCUUAAUCUUACGUAUUUAUCUAUCUAACAAAUUAUAAAGCCUAAGAAGAAAUAAAUUAUUUUCCAAUCGAUGGAUAUGGGAAUUAGUGAUGGGCGAUGUUGUGACUUUUACGGAACGCUGCUACUUGUGACUGUGACUUUGUAGUAGCAAUGAUUUUAAACUGUGAAUGUGACUGCAAUAAAAGUUGUUACAGACAGAGGCCAAUAAAGUAGAACAAAAUUGUUUCCUUUUUUCAUUUAGGUACAAUGUACAUAUUUAUUAUAAUAAACAGAAAUUAACAUAGGCGCAACGUCUUGGGCGAUCUUCGCUGUUUUUUAAUAUUCAGAAAAAUACUUCAACAAUUUUUUUUUACAAAAUUUAUUAUAAAAGAUAAAUAGUUGUACACUCACAAUAAUCUGAAUAACAAUGAAAAAUAUUAAUUUUUACUCGAAUGCUCUUCAGUCGUAGGAGUGACAAAAAAAAAACAGUAUCUUUAUAUAUUGCGUUGUCAAAAAAGUCUUGCGGUAUUUUCGCUAGUUGCCGCUGAAAGCGCGUAGUUCUAGUUUUAUUCGUCGCAUCGGGUCAUGCCAUACCUUUUUGGAAAGCUCAUUUCACGCGCUAACACGUGUUUGAUUGAUUGUCAUUUCUUUUAAGUUGUUCGUGAGUUAUAGCGUGGAGCAAAAUAAAGAGAAGCAUAUUUUAUAGUACUACUACGAUAAAGGCAAAAAUGCAUCUCAAGCCGCCAAUAAAAUUUGUGCAGUUUAUGGACCCGAUACAGUUUCCAUUUCCACUGCACAACGAUGGUUUCAACGUUUUCGUUCUGGUGUAGAGGUGGUCGAAGAUGCGCCACGUUCCGGAAGGCCUGUCGUCGAAAAUUGCGAUAAAAUAGCUGAAUUGGUCGAAAGAGACCGGCAUAGUAGUCAUCAAACCAUUAUAAACCAUUUAAAGAAGCUUUGUGCCACUAAGAAGCUCGAUGUAUGGGAGCCACACGAAUUGAUUCAAUAAAAAUACCGCAAGACUUUUUUGAAAACCCAAUAAUAUUAACUCUGUCGUCGCGACGUGUCACUCUCACAGUUAUCACCCCUCACCCUAUGCUUUGAAUGUAACAAAUACUUUUAUUACUCCAAAUUUUCAAAAAUGGUAUUUAAAAACUCCAAUUCGGGCAAAAAUUCCUGCCAAUUGUGUCAAAAGUGGGAUAUAGGGCGCAAAUGGGUUUUUUCUAUGGCUUUUAAUAAGAUGUCUUGUAAAUUUACUAUCAAUUUCCUCAAAAACCGUAUUGUGAGAAUUUUGGAACUUCAGAAUUUGCGUGGCUUCUGAUUCCCAAAUUUUAUAUACUUAAUAUCGAAGAUAUUUUGUAAAAGUUCACUUUUGUUCGAACCACCUCAUGAAACUUGUAGGUAUGUAGAUAAAAGAGGCCGGCAGAACAUCAUUGGCCCCGGGCGCCCGAAGUUGUAGCUACGCCACUGCAAAUAACGCUGAAUUGCAAUACUGGCUUUUCCUUCUACGCUACUAUGUGGUUUAUGUUCAUUAGCGUAUAUAUCGAAAGAACUCCAUAUUGAUACUGAUUUUUCUACAUUUUCUUCUGUUCUUUCAGUCUGAAAUUCCAUUUCUUCCCUUUGCAUUUCUAUUAGAUAACGUUUUAUAAGUUUUUUUGUGUUGUGUGCUACUGAUUCAUCAGUCAACACCACUAUUUUGAAUCUGGGGUGGAGAAAAGUGGCUACCGUAAUUGUAUUGCAGUGUUGUAAACUGCUAAAACGUUCCCUAUUUCCAUUUAAAAAAAUUUCAAUCACUUUUUGUACGGUGACCGAAAAUGUUUCAGUUCGCAAGUGUCACAUCUAGUAGACCAUUUGCGAUUGGUAUUACCAGCGAACCUGUGCAAUAUGUUUCACCACUAAUGCUUACUGUAGCACCUCUAAAUGGUUUGCAAAUUUUGCACAAAGCAGCAACAGUCGUCCACUCGUCGCUGGUUAAUAUAGGUAAAUUUUUGUUCAUAAUUAUCAAAGUACAUUUCACCGCUUCCUCCAACUCCGAAAGAUGCUCCAACAUUGCCAACGUGGAGUUCCACCUCAUUUCAACUUGUUGAACUAAUUUUAGAGGUUCUUUACCGCUGUUGCGCUGGUACUUUUCAAACGCUUCAUUCGCUGAAGUACUUUUCUUGAAGUGAGUACCUAUUACUUUAACUUUAUCAGUUACUUGUUCUACUUCAGGAAUGUGCAAUCCUUCUUUUUCAAUUAAAUUAAUUGUGUAAGCCAUACAUCCAAAAUGCUUCCAACCUAACUUAUGGCACUUUUUAUGUUACUACUAUGUAGCAUUACCCGAAACAGCCAGCAAUAUUUUGUCGUUAAUUUUCCGAUCACUUACGAUUAGUUGUAUAGCGUCACCUAAGUUUUCAGCUUUUUUUUUGCACUAGUUGGGGUGACGAUAAAAGUACUGACGUUAGUUCAAAAUUUUCGGAGACAUAAUGUACCGUUACAGCAAUAAAACUAGUUAGACAUGUUGCGCGAUGUCCAACAAUCAGAGGUGAUGCAAAACUUUUCCCCGCUUCUAAUUAUUUCUUAUGUUUACAUUCCUCAUACAAUGCAGGAAUCAUUAAUUUUGAAAUCACACGUGUGCUAGGAAUGUCAUAAGAUGGAUUUAGGGCUGUUACAAAUUCCCGAAAACCUUUGUCCUCAACUAAGGAAAAAGGUUGCAAAUCCGCCGUAAAAAGCUGCAAUAAUUUGCUUGUAAUUUCACUUUUUGAUUUUAGUCGCGCGACAUUUAAAAGCAUAGUUCGUGUUAAAGGCUUUGGUAAUUUCAAAAUUAUAUUAGCUUUUCCAAUUGAUGUUUUUUUUUUAAUUUGAUGUUGACAUUUUAUAUGAUACUUUGGAUUUACAAAUAUCACAUUUAGCGAAAACAGCAUCCACGUCUUUAAAAAAUUGCCACACAUAACUCGUUUUGUUUAUUUUUGAUACAGAUAUCUUUAAUUUUUAUUAUGUAUAAGCAAAAUGAUUUGUAACCGUUUCGUACAAAAAUUAAUGAAAAUGAUCCGUUAUUUUUAAGGAAGCUCAUUUUUUAAGUCACAAUAAAUAUAAUCUCUUAUGUUUUUUUCAAUAUAAGGGUACUCAAUAGAAACUAUUUAAAGUAAACGAAAACAUACUUUUAAAAAUAUUUCAAAGACCAAUAUAUCUUAUAUAUAAAAAUGAAUCGCAAAAUGUGUUGCUAAGCGUAUAACUCAACAACGCCUGGACCAAUUUGGCCAAUUCUUUUUUUCUAAAUGUUCGUUGAGGUUCAAAGAUGGUUUUUACGACGAGAAAAUUUCGAAUAACCCUUUUCCAAAAGUAAUUUUUUUUAUACAAAUUUACAAAAAGUAACUUUUUUAUACAAUCUUUUUUUAAAUUUUUUUUGCUUUUUUUCAAUUAUUUGAAUCGUUUGCUUUCUUUAUUCCGGUUACUCAAAAAAAAUUAUUUAGUGAAAACGUUAUGUGUGUUUCACAUAAAGUGAUCUAUUACACAUUUAAAUUUAUUACGAUGCCACGAAGAGGUGACGCUAAUAUCGUCCGGCGUUCUUUUUGGCGUCAACAUACAUUGGCAACGCAAGGCACAUGACCGAGUACUACCAGAAUGCGAUGACAUACGUGCGAAAUUAUAGAUCGCGGUCAAUCAACAAGCGAUCGUCACGAUGUCACAGCACGUCUUUUCAAACAAGAGUUACGAUGUUUGAUGGACUUUAUCUUGAAGCAACGUAUAUGUGGUGCUGUUAGAUGCUAGAUGUACUCUGUUGAGUGGCAAAAAAGAGAUCAAAUUGAUGAAAUCAUUUCUGCGGAAACUCCUGAUGCAGAGAAAGAUCCAGUACUAUCCGAAGUGAUGAAAACCAAUAUGACUCAUGGACCUUGUAGACACUAUAAUCCCUUUUCGGAACACAAACUAAAAAUGAUGGAUAUCCACUCUGUUGGGGUCACUCAAAAGACGACAAUGGCAUAACAUUCAGCAUUCAAUUUAGAAGAGUGAAUAUCGAAGUUGACAACACAUGGAUCGUACUAUAUUCCCUAUUAUUGUCUAAUUCACAUUCAAAACUCUUAUCAAUGUUGAGUAUUGCAGUUUGGUAUAAUCGAUAAAAUACGUUUUUAAGUACGUCAAAGGAAGCAAUAUGGCGGUUAUUGGUCUUCAACAAUACGGUCGAUACGUGAACUUCAAUAAAGCGUUUUGUAGGACAUUUACUUUUGCAAUUCGUGGACGUUUUCGUGUUGUGCGUCUCUCAGUUAUCCGUUUGCGAGAACAUUGCUCUAUUCGGAAAUAUAAUACAUGGAACACAUCGUCAAAGAAAUCGUUACGCAGAAAGCAAGGCCAACCAGUAUAUAGACAUCCAGGUGUGUUCUCAACUAAUUUAAGUAUAAAUAAAACCCAUCCACCCGAAAAACGACUAUUGUUUCUACCUUCGGUUGCUAUUGAUUAAUGUACGCGGUUCAACUUCAUUUGGGUCAUAGCGUACUGUGAAUGGUACGGUGUGUGCAAGUUUUGGAGAAGUAAGCCAGCAAUUACCAUUGCUGGAACGUGUUAAUCACUGAAAUCAAAAUGAAGUUCGCACACUUUUCGCGACAAUCAUUUCGACAUAUCAGCCUUCAAAUCCGCGUCAAUUAUGGGACACGAACAAAAAUGACAUUGCCGAAGACAUUUUACAUCAUCUUCGCAAAGAAAAUGGAAAUGGGUUAAUUCCGGUUGAUACUUCCGGUGGUUCGAUAUCAAUUCCAUUCGCCGUUUAUCAAUUCACAAAAGAUGAACUCAUUACGAAUGUUCGGACGUUGGUCAAAUUAUCGUAACUAUGAUUUCUUAAGUGCACGCGAGUUACAUAUAUAGUUCCACAGACGAAAUCAUAAGAAAAUACUUAAAUCAACCCAACAACAUUACUGUGUAAAACAUUUAUUUAUUUAAUUGAUUUAAAUUGACACUCACAUAAAUAUGUAUAACGAAAAUGCAAGAGUCGUUGCUUCAUAAAAAUGAAAAACGAUACUUGCAAUGUAAACAAAUUGUAUUUAAACAUUGUGGCUUAAAUUAAAUUUAUGAAUACUACAUGAAACGUUAUUACUUUUACUUACAUAAGCAAAAGUCAAAGUAAUAUCCAAUUUCGUAGGAAUAUUUGUACGUCCACCUAAAAAAGUACUUAGGCCACAUAAAUGUCAAUGCACCGAAUUUAAUAUUUGGAAAAGUAUUAAAAGAUUACAUAUAUGAUUUUGUUUACAUUUGCUUAUUUUGAUCAAUAUUGAAGGUUUCAUUUUAAGAACGAAAUUAUUGUAAAAUUAGUCUUAAGAUUCACCUGAAUAAAGGAAGAAAUAACAGCUUAAGCUUUUUAAUUCAACCUUAUUUCAUUUCUCGCGCAAUGUUAGCUGACAAUCUACAGGACACAAUGAUAGUCGCAUAGUGUGUAGCAUAAAUUUGGAAAUGCUGUGUUUUUCACACGGCCAGAUAUACGUGUCGUGCUCACGAGUUAGAAAAUAAUAUUUUCUGUACACCUGAACAGAAACCAAAAAAUUUUAUUUAUCAAGCUGCGUUACAUUGAAAAAAAAAAAAAUCAAAUGAUAAAUUUAACUUUCUUUUCAUUUCAAAACACAUAAUUUCAGGAUAACGGCUGCGGGGUCAGCAAGUAUGUAUAUAAAAUUUAUGCAAUUUUAAGAAUAAAAGUUUUAUAAUUGGCUUUAGUACCGCAUGGAGGUUUCUCUAAUCAAUUUAAUUUGUACAUAAGUAUUACCAGUUUAAAGCUAUGUGUGUAAACUAACUUAUUUUAUAUGUCAACCAAUUUUUACUUAUCUAAAAUUGAAGAUAACUCUUAGUUUUAAUGAAUAUGAAUUCAUCACAGCCGCAGUUAUUUAUGUUACACUGUGAAUGCUAUUUUGCAACAGUCGCAACUUUUAUGUUUCACUGUGAAUGAUAUUUUGUCACAGUCGCAAUUUUUUAAGUUCCACUGUGAAUGCUACUUUAUCACAGUCGCAAUUUUUCAUAUAAUACUGUUACUGCUACUUUGUUGAAGUUUCCCAUGUUACUGCUACUUUAGGGAAUUUGUCACAGCUGUGACCAGUGAUUUUUAAAUAGCAGUGACAAAAUCACAGUUACUGAAAUAUUUGCUAUCUCUAAUGGAAAUUUGUAAGUUGCAUAAGUGCGGCAGGGAUUUUGUGCUAAAAAAUCUUUUCAGACAAUUUUGUGAUAGCUGGACUCAGUAUUGUUUGUUUGAGCACGCGUCUAAGAUUGACAACGUAAAAAAAAUACGCAAUUACAAAAGGCGAAAACGAAACCCAAGCGAAUGUAAAUGUGAAUAGUGUUUAUAGUCCUGAUACCGUAGCAGAUAAUCACGCACGAUUCCAUUACGUUAACUUUUAUAUCAAAGAUGCAUCACCCUCUGGAAGCCGAAAUCAUCGAGUCUGAACAUCUUGAUAGCACUGUUUCGAUUGUCAGGAGCUAAACAUUGCUUAAAACUUCGUUUGAAAUCGUUUAAAUAAAAUUAAGUACAAAAAGAAACUCGACGUAUGGGUUUCUAUGUGUUUAUCGGUAGAACUAUAAUAUUUACUAUGAGCUACUCCCAUAUGGCCAAACUUUUAAAUUGUACCUGUACUGUCAAAGAUCUGAGGAUCUGAAGCAAGCAAUCAGUCAGCUUUGAUAAACAAGAGAACAAUUAGGACAACGCAGGUUGUUAUGCACCUACCUUAUAAAUAACUCGAACCCGGAACCAAGUCAUCGUUAUCUGUUCCCUUAUAUGAUAAAUGACUUUUCUAGUGAAAAUUUCACCUCAAGAGAGGCUUGUGAAAAUUGACUGUUCCAGUUUGCCGGUAGGGACGAAGGUUGAAAAUACUUUCGAAAUGCCAGAAAGUUAUGCUUGCAACAUUUUUAACUCCCUAAGAUAGGUUUGAAUUAUGUAUAUUAUGUUAACACGGCAAGUAUGAUGAGUCGAAUUAACAGCCUAAUGCGUGUGGAUCCACCCGUGCAAGCGAUAACUUGACGAACAAUUGAAUGUGAAAUAAGUAGAAGUGGUCAGGGCAGACAGAUGCGCGUUCGGUCCACAUGUACACAACUGCUCACUUGGAAAAAGUCAAAAAUUAUAGCCGAGAUAACAACAGCGCGCCAGUCGUUUCUUCGUUUCGCUAGGUAGCUCCAAUUAGAUAUUCUAAGCGAAGCCAGGUCCUUCUCUACCUGGUCCUUCCAACAGAGUAGAGGUCUUACUUUUCUUCUUCUUUCCCUGGUGGGUACUGCGUCGAUUACUUUCAGAGAUGGAGUAUUUUCGUCCAUUCGGACAACAUGACCUAGCCAGCGUAGCCGCCUUUUAUUUCGCUGAACUAUGUCAAUGUCGUCGUAUAUCUCCUACAGUUCAUCAUUCCAACGAAUGCAAUAUUUAUCGUGGCUAAAGCGCAAAGAACCACACAUCUUUCGCAGAACCUUUCUCUCGAAAACACGCAAUGUCGACUCAUCAGUUGUUGUCAUCAUUCAAGCCUCUGCGCCAUACAACAGGACGGGAAUUAUGAGUGGCUUAUAGAGUAUGGUUUUUGUUCAUAGAAAAAGGACUUUACUUCUCAAUUGAUUACUCAGUCCGAAGUAGCACCUGUUGACAAGAGUUAUCCUGCGUUGGAUUUCCAGCCUGACAUUGUUGAUGCUGUUUAUACUGAUUCCAAGAUAGACGAAGUUAUUGACUUCAAAGUUUUCACUGUCAACAGUGGCGUGACGAUAUCAAUAUCAUCGGCAUACGCCAGCACCUGUACACUCUUGUAAAAGAUUGUACCUGCUCGAUUAAGUUCUGCAGCUCGAAUUAUUUUCCCCAGCAGCAGAUUGAAGAAGUCGCACGAUUGGGAGUCGCCUUGUCUGGAACCUCGAUUGGUAUCGAUCUGCUCGAAAAUGUCCUUCCCGAUCCUAACUGAAGCUGAAGAAAUAUUCCCUCCAUAUGAAGUGGGCAUCAUUCACUAGAUCACCCCGAGAGAAAUCACCCUCCAGCCUGCUGAAUGGCAGUGAAAGCAUAUUCCCAGGAGAAGACAAACCCGAAUCCCCAAUCGAUGACGAUAGAGCAGACGUUCCAUUACCCGAUCAUGAAGAAGUUGGAAUAGCAAUUAUCCGCCUGAAGAACAACAAAGCGUCGGUGGCCGAUGGAUUGCCGGCCGAGCUAUGCACAUACGGCAGUGAAGAACUGAUAAGGAGCAUGCAUCCGCAUCUUUGUUGAAUAUGGUCGGACGCAAGCAUGCCCGACGAUUGGAAUUUAGGUGUGCUCUGUCCAAUUUACAAAAAGGAAAACUCCACAAUCUGCGCUACUACCGUAAGAUAAACCUCCUCAGUAUCGCAUAAAAGGUUCUAUCGAGCAUAUUGUGUGAAAGAUUAAAGUCCACCGUCAACGAAUUGAUUGGGCCUUUUCAGUGAUGCUUUAGGCCUGGAAAACAACUGACCAGAUAUUCACCAUGCGGUAAAUCCUGGAAAAGACCCUUGAAAAGAGGAUCGACACUCACCACCUUUAUGCCGCUAUAUCUGAAUUUAAUAUCCAUAAAAACUAAUACGGCUAUGUAAACUGUUGAGCAAUAUCAAAAGCUUCAUCAGGAUCGGGAAGGACCUCUCCGAACCUUGCGAUACCAAGCGACGUUUCAGGCAAGGCGACUCCUUAUUGUGCGAUUUCUUCAAUCUACUCUGGAAGUAAAUAAUUCGAGCCGCGGAACUAAAUAGAGAAGGUACCACCUUCUGUAAGAGUGUACAGCUGCUGUACGCCAAUGAUAUUGAUAUCAUUGGUCUCAACAACGGCACCGUUAGUUCCGCUUUCUCCAAAUGGGUCUGGUAGUGAAUGAGGGCAAGACGAAAUAUCUCGAGUCAUCAAACAAGCAGUCUUGGCACUCGCGAGUUGGCUCUCACCAUCAACACCAGCAACAAUGUUACUCUCGAAAUCCAACGCAGAAUAACUCUUGCCAACAGGUGUCACUUCGGAAUGGUCACUCAUUAUUCCCGUUCUGCCAUAUGAUGCAGAGGCAGGGAGCUGUAUGAGAUAUACGAUGACAUGGGCAUAGGUAAGCUAAUUAAAAGACUUCACUUCUGAAAGUAUUCGACGCAGUACCCGCCGGAACAUGCAGAGGAGGAGUAAGGCCUUCACUCCGUUGGAAAACCCAGUUGGAAAAGGACCUGGCUUCGCGUGAAAUCUCUAAUUGACGCCACAUUGCGAAAAGAAGAAACGAUUGACGCGCUGUUGCUAUAACCGCGUGGGCGGUGUCUUCAUCAGUAAAGAAGAAGAAUAAUUUAUAAUUAUAUGUAUAUAAUUUUAAGAACUCCUGAUGAGGUUUACGUUCUUUUGGUACCUAGAAAUUAAGAGAUUGUUAAUUUAUAUUAUGGAGUUGAAAAAAGUUCUUUACUGUUGAAAAUAGUCCGCAUUUUGAAUAAGAACAAGUAACCAAUUUAAAAAAAAAAAUAAUAUAAUUUAAUUUGUACACUUGUUCUAUUCCUCCCACUCUGCACAUUAUUUGCUUCGGAUACCAUUUUUGUCGACCGUCUGCCAGCUAAACCCUUACAUAUUAUGCCUUUAUCAACAUAAACACAUAUACAUAGCAGCAAACGCUUCAAAAGUUAUUGCCGACUCAUAACAUAGUUUCUAGUGUUGGCAGAAGGCUGGAGUGUGCGCUCGAAGUUGCAUCAAUCGUUUUUCCCUAUUUCUUUUCCAAUUCAAUGCAUAAUUGUGCAUGGAUGCGUAAAUUUACGGAUUUUUGUACAAUUUCAAAGCUCCGGCUUAGUACGAUAAAAUUUGUUGUACGUUUCCUUAAGUUUGUAUUGGUAAGAUUUGGUGGCUUUCUUCUUAGAGCUCUUCUUUGAUCCCCUCGUCCUGCCGUCCUAUUGGGUAUAUAUACUUUUCAAUAUUCUAUAUAGAGACUGGAAAGCAAAACGAUUUCAGACAAUGACGAAGUUUAAACACUUUUUAACCUAUUUUUACAAAUAAUUGGAUCCAUCAAGCUUCAUAUCAACAUUGAAUAUAUGGUUAUCAUCAUCCACUAAGAUAUCUCAAAUUGGGGUUUUUCAUAUCUGAAACAUAUUUUAACACUUAGUUCGGUGGACGCCUAUUACACACUAUGCUACUGUGAGCAAAAAAUAGUAAGACUUCUUAAUUUAAAUUUCGCGCGAAAAACUUUUUUUAUUUUUACUAUUAUUGACAUCUGUGCCAAAUGUCACAUCAAAGCAAUCAUUACUGAUAGUAUACGCUUGUCUUUCUGAAAUACAUAAAUUGCAUUCUGUGAUUUUUACGAUGAGUGAAAUUGUUCAACAAAGAAGUUCCAUAAAAUUUUGUAUGUGGAAUCAAAUUUGUGGUGCCGUUUUUGAUCUGUACAAUUUAUUCAAAGAGGGUUUUGAACACGUUGACUACGAACAACUUCCAGCACGGUCAUCAACUUCAACUGAUGAUCAACAAGUCGAUACAAUAAAGGAAUUGCUGCUUAAAAAUCGGAAGGAGUAGUGAAAACCACAAGAAAAGCUCAUUUCAGCCUGAGAAAAGUGAUAGAAUUAGUUCCAAAUGCAGUCAAUUUUUGGAAAAACUCGGUCGCGUUAACGUCUGUGAAAAAAUAAUUUUCUACUACCAGGACAUUAUUAAACGCAUUAUUACUAGCGAUGAGUCUUGGAUCUAUGGUUACGAGUCGGAAACAGACAAUCAAUCGGCCGAAUAUCGUGACAAAGGUGAAUCGAAACCGAAAAAAAAACACAUCAGAGCGGGUCAAAAAUCAAGAUUAGGUUGAUAGUUAUCUUCGAUUACCGAGGUGUGGUGCUCUCCAGAUUCCUUCCGACCGGUAAACUGUCAACAAAAAGUACUAUAUGAGUGUUAUGCGUCAUUUGAGUGAAGCUAUUCGUAAAAAGAGACCGGGAUUAUGGGCCGACAAUUCUAGGUUUUUGCACCACGGGAAUAUACAUACAUAUACUGUAUUAAUUCUUCGUGAGUUUUUCGCUAAAUUUUCAACCAAUAUCGUGCCUCAAACACUGUAUUCGCCUGAUUUAGCUCCAUGUAACUUCAAGCAAACUCAAAUGGAGUCAAUUGAAAACAUAAAACUGAAGUGCUACGCGCAUUGAAAGCUAUUCCGAAAAUUGACUUUAACAACUGUCUCGAGGAUUGAAAAAAACGUUGAUACAAGUGUCUUGGGGAGAAUUUUAAAGUUGUGAACAACUGUUAUACUAAUUUUUUCAUGGUAAUUUUAUGUGCAGAAAUUUCUACACACAUACAUAUAAUUAUGUACAUAUAUAAAACAUUCAUGUUCUUAAUCGUAGGUAAGUCUUUCGAUUUGUUUCGAUACAUAAAAAAUUACUUUCCACUGGAGGAGCUGGUUCUUAAAAUACUUCUUAACGCCUCAACGAAUGCCAAAUUUUGUUUUUACUCCCUCAAAAUUAAUGUAUAUUAGGCCCCAAAUCAGUUGCGUUCCUUUUGCACAUAUAUGUAGGUACCUGCGUUCAAUAAAAAUACAUCACCAAAAAUAAUUGAAAUAAGAUCAUGUGAGCAGUUUGUUUAAAAAGAUAGAAUAUUAAGGCAAUUUUUAUUUGUUUGACUACAUAGUAUGCAGUAUAGUUGUUCACAAAAUUUUUUCUCAAAAAUGGUUUUUAUAAGAGACAGCCAAUAAAUUAAAAAAAAAAAAUUACAAAAAUGUACAAGCCGGGAUAUUCAUGAUUUAAAUUAAAACAAUGUGAAGUUAAUUUAAAACGAUUAAGUCAUUUUCGUCACUAACAGUAGAUUCAUCCCUUCUUAAUUUUUGAAGGCAUGGAAUACACUUGGACCUGAAUUAACUUCCCUAUAAGGGAAUCAUACCUAAGCAGUUUUAAAAUAUUUAUUAAUUGACUUUUGUUUAACACCUUCACACUUCAUUAUGUGCCAUAUAAGCUUAAAUCGGGGGAAUUUCCUUGCCAAUCUAAGCGUUGAAUCCUUAAAUAUUAAAGAUCCUUGAAUGUAUUGGCAAACUAAAAAUUAAAAUUCGAACUGAAUGAGAUCUUAUACAAAAAUAGUGUAUACAUGUUUUGUACAAGAUUUGUUUCCAGUCAAAACUUAGCCAUUUUGCACGAUGACAUGGCGCUGAGUCAUCUUGGAGAAUUAGGCGAUCCCUAUGAGGGUAAUGCUCUUCAAUUGCGGGUACUAAAAAUUUUUAACCACUGUCGCAUAUUUUUGUACAUUCAUUAUUCCAUGAACAAGGUAUAGAGAUCCCAAAAACAUGGUAUGAAAAGCCUCAUCAAAAUAUUUGUCUUUGAGGAAAUUUAAUUUUCUUUACUACACAAUUAUACUGGAACCUCUCACUACAUCAAUGGCGCACGUAAAGCGAAUUUUGAGAGCUUAGCAAAUUAAAUUUUCUUUCAUCAUUUUUAAACCAGUAAAGGUGUCCAGACUACAUUUUUUGUGUUAAUAGUGGUUUUUUGACAGGACAUUUUCCAUAUAAACCUACAUUUCUUAUCCCUCGUAUGGUCGCAAAACUUAAGUCCACUUGCUGAAAGUGCACUUUUAAAAGCGGGCUUAAACUUAUCCGUCGCAGUAAGUUGACUUUCGAAGACGACCUGAUCCUUUUUUUCGUAAAAGACGAACAUUAGUUGAAUGUCUACAACCAAUUCUAGCUACUAUUUGCCGAGAUCACUUUUCUUCAUCUUAUGCCAAUUUGGGACUUUUUGCUCACGCCUUAAUUUUUUAAACUUUUCAAGUACACAACCAAAAUAAGACUAUAAUGAAAAGUGUUCAACCCAUUCCCAUUUCAUUGGAAAUAAUUAAUUUUUUAUUGCCUACUACAUUUUAUAGAAUUUUUCUAAAAUUUACAGUUAUAUAGCUAAAGUUUACAAAAUUGGCGGUGCGUUUUUAUUGGAUGCAAGUGUACCUAAUUGUAUAUGCGCGCGUAUACAUAUGUUCAUACAUAACAGAAUACGGAAUUGUCACGAAAGUGCCUCUUAAAGCAAAAUCAAUUUGUGCUUAUGAUAAAUUCAAUUUUAAAAUUUUUAAUUUAAAAAAGUUCGUCGCUUCAAUAUGACCAUAAAAAUUAUAUUACUUCCAUCUGACUUGUUUCGUAAUUCAGUUAGUGAUGCUAUCACUUAAUGGAUGCUGGUGAAGUGAUCGUCUCUUUACUAGACAGACGACAAUGGGGUUGCCAAAAAAUUAUGCUUGAUAGAAGCACACACAUGCGCAUGAGUUAUACAUACAUAUGGGCAUAUUGUGUAAAUAUAUCCUUGAUUUUGGUCUGUCUGUGAGAAAUACAAGUUCUAAGGAUAAUUGAAAAAUAUUUACAUUUCAUUCUUCAAAUUUACAUCAAAUUGUUGGAAACCACAUUAGUACCUAAGUUCUGUUGACAUUCUGGACAGUACAGCUUGUUAACUUAAUCAAGAAUAUGGAGAUUGGUUCAUGUCCAAAGCAAAGGCCGAGUAAUUGUUGAAUAAUAUCUAUUGAAAAGUUAACCAGAAAUCUUGCAAUUCUCAUAUGCAACUUAUUUACACCCUUUAUAAUGAGUAUAAUUUGUUCCAUUAUUUGUUUAUAAAAAAGUACCUUUGUAAAGUCUCAUAAAUUCAACGUAUAUUCCAUUGGAAAGCUGAGACAAUAUCGUUAACAUUAGGCGGACUAUUCAUAUUGACAUACAUACUUUUCUUUGUAUACGCAAAUUUACUUUUUUCAAAAGUUGAUUUUUUUUUUUAUAUUGAGUCAAAACAAAAAAUUACCUGUCCAAUAUUUUGCCUUAAAGAACAUAAAAAAAUGUUUCGCACGAAAAAAAUGUUGAAUGCAAAUUUUGGAACAUGUGGCUAAAAGUUCUGUGCAUGGAACAUAGAAACAUAAUCAUUUUAUUCCCAGAAUUCAUAAACCAUCAGUUUAACACACUUUUGCUAUUUUAAUUGAAGCCCGAUUUCCUGGGAUACUUUGGGCAUCCGCAGAUUUCAUCCGACGUGUUAUGUAUUUGUCGUUUUGUAUAAGCAUAUACAGAAAUAAGAAGUUUUCAUUAAAUAAAAACAUUAGUGACAUUAAGUUUUUAACAGUUGGUAAUGCAGGUAGGUGGAAUCAGACGAGCCGAUGUGAGCAUAUUACACAAAUACCGUUCUUCGAAAAAACAUAGGAAGCUAUAACUUACUGAUUGGCCAAAUAAGCUACAAAACUCAAAUUUGGUACAGGGGUGGGAAUGGCGUACAGGAAAGGGGUGUGUGGUACAAAAGGCGGAUGUGAUAACGCCCUAUAAUAAUGAAUUUAUUGUAUGUAUUACAAACUACCAAAGUUUUGUUAAGCUUUGUGCAAAUAAUAUCAUUACUGUUAAAACAAACGAAAUCGGAGAAUAGGCGCGUCCACCUCUGCUGCUUUGUUUUGAACUAUCUAAAGUGCUAAAACGGUCCAGUUACACCAGAAAAUUAAAUUAAACGAAUGGAACUAAUAAGAAUAUUCUCACAAUUAUACCAGGGAAAUUUUACAAUGGGCGUUUGCAAUAAAGACUUUAGUUCGACAUAUGAGAAAAGAUUUAUAUUAAAGUUGUUGUUGUAGCGUCAGAAAACAGUCCUGAAGGAGGUGCCGAAUUGACAAUUCUUGCCUGGAUAAAAACCCGCGUCAGUUGCGCUUACUUAGGUGCGAAUGUCCUGGGAACGGAUCGUUAUGCGUGCGGAUUCCUUAAGCAUACCAAUUCCUUUAGCUCUGCUUGACUUUAUAUCCGAUGAUGUAACAAAAUUACGUUACGUAUGGGAUAUGGGAUAGGUUUUCAAGAUACCAAAACUGUCAAAUGUAUUGUGCUUUUCACGGACCAUUCAGUUUGAAUCGCAGCAAUGUAUAUGCUACGGUGAGCCAAUCCUCAAAACUUUUUAGAACAUUGCAGCGCCGCCUUAAACAGUAAUCUGUGCAAAACUUCGUAAAGAUACCAUUUCAAAGAUAAGACUUUUCCAUACAGCAACUUGAGUUUGAUCAAUCAGUUUAUAUGGCAGCUAUACACUAUAAUGGUCCGAAUGUGUGUAAAAUUUCAGAUCGAUAUCUCAAAAACUAUCUAGUUCGCUCAUAUAUGAUCAUAUAUACAUUUUACAGGGCCUGCGAUAUUUCCUUCAGGGUAAGAAAAACUUUUAAUCCAGGUAUUAAAGAACCUUUUUGUAUGUUAUGUAAAAGAAUUCACUAUUCAUUAUUUGACGAAAUUGAGAAUGGAUUACAACAAUAUCAACUUAUAUAGGCCCCGGACAUAUGUAUAUAGCUUCUUCACAAAUUUUUGGAAUAUUGGGACUAAGAGAAAGUGGCAUAAUAUUGUGAUACCUCAAUUAUUUACAGAUAUAUUCGGUAUUUAGUCCACUAUAAUAGCGGAAAUCAGUACAUGUAGUAAAUGGCGGCAAUGGUAAUUUAUGGACGUAUUCCACUUACAUUUCGCACUAUACUUCAGUACAUCUAUAAAAAGAUUUUUAAGUAAUUCUAUU